rnacentral:rRNA from 1 species
AUGGGAACGCGAAGAACCUUACCUAGACUUGACAUCUCCUGAAUAGUGUAGAGAUACAUGAAGCCCUUCGGGGCAGGAAGACAGGUGGUGCAUGGUUGUCGUCAGCUCGUGUCGUGAGAUGUUGGGUUAAGUCCCGCAACGAGCGCAACCCUUAUUACUAGUUGCUACCAUUAAGUUGAGCACUCUAGUGAGACUGCCCGGGUUAACCGGGAGGAAGGCGGGGAUGACGUCAAAUCAUCAUGCCCCUUAUGUCUAGGGCUACACACGUGCUACAAUGGUGAGAACAACGAGAUGCAAUACCGCGAGGUGGAGCAAAACUUCAAAACUCAUCUCAGUUCGGAUUGUAGGCUGAAACUCGCCUACAUGAAGUUGGAGUUGCUAGUAAUCGCGAAUCAGAAUGUCGCGGUGAAUACGUUCCCGGGUCUUGUACACACCG